AUUCAUUGUUGGAAUCCUAUAUACUCCGGACAUUUUUUCAUCCUUCCUGUUAUCUUUUUCAUUUUUAAGUAGAUUAUAUACGGUGGGAUGUCUUUUAUAAGUCACUUUCUUACUUCCUUUCUUAAUAAGCUUCUUAAUUGUCUUAUAGUUGGACAUGCAAAAAACGAGGAAGAAGCUUAUAUAGGAGUUGCGGGACCAUUGGCGCUAGGAGUGCAGGAGCAUAGGGGAGAUGUGGCUGGAGGGAGCCUGAACGCUGCGCUGGCGGGAGGUGCUUGUGAAAGCGAUGUAGGAGUGAAUUGGCAUGAGACGAGGGUAGUUGUGUUAAAAAGGAAGAGCAUUCCGCCAUGGCGGAGGCCUUAGAAGUUUUCACUGGACAGC
rnacentral:lncRNA from 1 species